CCACAAAACAGCCAAAAUACCAAGGGAUGUUUAUGCCUGACAUGCACUCCAAGAUAAAUUACAGUUCUACAGCACUCGAAUGAUGGCAGCUUAGACUUUACCCAGGGGCGGAUCCAGUAAAGGGACAUUGGCGUAAACAUGUACACCCAAUAAUUUUUGCAAACACUUCGAAGUUAGGAAGGUUGUCAAGUAGCUAAUGGUCAGUUUGGAUGUAGAUAUUGAAGGUGCUGACAUUGAAUUUGUACCAAUACCAAAUCAACCUUGCAUUGGAAAUGACUCACAAUACCAAAUCUAUUGUUUGGAUGUGCA